rnacentral:lncRNA from 1 species
UAGUGGUGUGACUGAUCUUUUGACCUGCGGUGUGUUGGCUAUUCACAGUGAGGCUACUUAGUUUGACUACAUGUUCUCUUAGUCUUCUAGCCAUUCAGAUCCUUACUGUGUAUGUUGGUUAUUAUAGGUUCAAGUUCACUAUUUGAAGUAGGAUGCAUCUACAUGGAAUUUAUCGAUCUUGAUAGAAAAAGAGAAGUCCUAUGCGAUUC